rnacentral:rRNA from 1 species
UACGUAGGUGGCAAGCGUUGUCCGGAUUUACUGGGUGUAAAGGGCGUGUAGCCGGGCUGACAAGUCAGAUGUGAAAUCCGGGGGCCCAACCCCCGGACUGCUUUGGAAACUGUAUAGCUGGAGUGCAGGAGAGGUAAGUGGAAUUCCUAGUGUAGCGGUGAAAUGCGUAGAUAUUAGGAGGAACACCAGUGGCGAAGGCGGCUUACUGGACUGUAACUGACGUUGAGGCUCGAAAGCAUGGGUAGCGAACAGG